rnacentral:rRNA from 1 species
UACAGAGACUGCAAGCGUUGCUCGGAAUCACUGGGCGUAAAGGGUGCGUAGGCGGGUCUUUAAGUCAGGGGUGAAAUCCUGGAGCUCAACUCCAGAACUGCCUUUGAUACUGGCGAUCUCGAGUCCGGGAGAGGUGAGUGGAACUGCGAGUGUAGAGGUGAAAUUCGUAGAUAUUCGCAAGAACACCAGUGGCGAAGGCGGCUCACUGGCCCGGUACUGACGCUGAGGUGCGAAAGCGUGGGGAGCAAACAGG